rnacentral:rRNA from 1 species
UGGGGGAUAUUGCACAAUGGGGGAAACCCUGAUGCAGCAACGCCGCGUGAGGGAAGACGGUUUUCGGAUUGUAAACCUCUGUCCUUGGUGACGAUAAUGACGGUAGCCAAGAAGGAAGCCACGGCUAACUACGUGCCAGCAGCCGCGGUAAUACGUAGGUGGCAAGCGUUGUCCGGAAUUACUGGGUGUAAAGGGAGCGUAGGCGGGAGAGCAAGUCAGAUGUGAAAUCCACAGGCUUAACCUGUGGCGUGCAUUUGAAACUGUUUUUCUUGAGUGAAGUAGAGGCAGGCGGAAUUCCGAGUGUAGCGGUGAAAUGCGUAGAUAUUCGGAGGAACACCAGUGGCGAAGGCGGCCUGCUGGGCUUUUACUGACGCUGAGGCUCGAAAGCAUGGGUAGCAAACA